UCCCGCCCUGGCCACGAUCCUCGCGGCGGCGCUCGGCCGGCGGGACGCCCUGCGCCGUUUCUGCUUCCUGCCGCCGAGCGCCGCCUCUGGCUGGGGCGAACGGCCGGGCUCCGCCCAAGGCUCGCUGAGGCGCCCGUUUCCCUGCUCUGAGAAGGCCUGGGGGCCACGAGGGAGCUGCGCGAUCUCCAAGCAGAGCCCGGCGCAGCGUGGCGGAAGGGAUGCUUCCCUUUAUUCCUGCACCCACAGGCGGCCACGACUGCCGGAUUCCCGUUUGGCAGUCUCUCACAUCUGCAAACUCAGGCAACACCCUGGAAAGCCCCUCUGAGUGGCCACACCUCAGUCUCAUUACACUGGCACCGCCUGGCACCGAUCUGCGCCUUUCUCCCCUGACCUGACAGCAGAGCAACCUGCCCUGCUCUUCAUGCCCUAACCGUGAAGGAAGGGAUCCAUGGAUCAACGGCCCCAUGAUCGCCUUAAACCUUUAUCACUGCUCUACUUAAACGUAUAGAGAUGUAAACCUGGGUAUUGACUAUUAAGAGCCUUCAUUUGACUCCAAAAUAAAAAUAAAACUGAGAAACCUGCCAACAGCAGCACAGACUCAGUGAAACUCCAAUAGCAAGUGCCAUAGGUUAGAUCCUAGAUACCUUACUGUCACUGCUAUUGGCGUGACAGUCCCGGGGGGCCGGGGGCCUUCCGGAAGCCGUGUGUCUGGGCCAUGACAGCCAAUGGAGAUCUCGCCAAGCCUUGACUACUACGGGAAACACUCCGACGCAGACAUACUGUGUAGGUUUUAGUUUCCCCUCUAUUCUUACUCAUUAGGAUGAAGUAAAUUGGUUCCAUAAAUUCAGAGGUGGGUGCAGAAACUGAAAUUACAAACUCACACCGGAACACACAGCAAUAUAGGUGGGUAAGUCUGAACUUUCCCUACACAGGAAAUGCUCAAGACAACAUGGCUUAGUCCCAAGAUGGAAGCAACACAGCUGUCCCUCAACAGACGGAGGGCGGGCUCAGAACGGUGUGAACCCAAACGCAGUGUCUUUCAGCUUCCCAGGGAUGAAGGUGGCGACAACCAAAUCAACCGUGGGGACCCCGUGCUAAAUGACCACAGGCCAGCCAGGAAAGGAAACACAAGUGCACUGUCCUCGCUCAGGGCGUGUGAAGCCGGCAGAUUCACAGGGACAAAGUCCCGGCACCGGGCCUGGGGAGUGGGGACUGCGAGUUAGCCCGGAGGUGCAGUGUUCCAGAUGAUUCCUGCGAGUGGAUGGUGAGGGUGGUUACACAACAGCGCGGGUGAAUUUGCCACCCCUGAACAACAACGUUCUACGUGUGCUUUACAAUAGCACGUCAAAACGUUACUGUCAGUUUCGGGUAAAAUGUUAAAGAUGCUUGUUGGGAACACAGAGGCUGAAUAUUUCUGCGCCCUUCUCCUCCCAGCCCAGGCCAUUUCACGCACCCUGCCACGGCGCCUCCAGCUCCCUUGGGGCCUCCCAGCUGCCUAGACGCUCAGUACGGGGAGUCACCGUCCACUCUGCGGACAGGCGCCCUCAGCUCUAAGCAGCAGGCAUUCCACACAGACAGGCCUCGUCUCUUAUCUCCCGGCAUGCGUGCUGUUCAGAAGCCGCUUAGAACGAGUGACGCCCCUUGUUCCAGCAGCCCCGCCCCGGUCACCACCUCAUCCUGGUGGGAACCCCUGCAGCUUCUGGCCCACCCGACGCGUCCAGCUCGGGAAGGCCGCACUCUGGCGUGGGCUGCUCCGGCCCACACGGGGACGGCAGAUUUCCACGUUUCUUAGCCAUGACGUCUUGUCGUGUUUCCCCGGCUGCUCUCACACUCCCACGUAGCCGACACUACAGGGGUGUGGCACUGCGCCUGCCUUUGACAGUAAUUUUAGAUGACAGAAAUCAAGAAUGGUUUGAUUCCAGUUUGCCAAGUUUAGCAGUAUGCUUUGCUGGAAGUAGUUUGCUUUCUGAGCCAGUCUUAUAAAGCGGUGGUGAGCACACGGACAACUCUGGAUUAUUUGCAACAUCCAGAAGCCCACGCACAGUUACCGGGGUUCCUGCGAAGGCAGCUGCGGACUGGUCUGAUCGUGAAUGCCCAAGAUCAAGGAAUCAAAGUGCGGCCUUCCUAAAACACUCGCACAAACACGGCCUUCACUGCUGCGCUAAGUAGGCUGUUAAGGACAUUUAUUCUAGUCAACUUACCAAACUCAAUUUGCUUUUUAAAAACUAUAUUCGAGCGCAGUGUGAAUUUUGCACAGUUCACUUCCUUCCACACAAAGAAACAGAAGGAUAAAAGGCUGUUUUCAUUGCUGCUCUUCCACUCAGGCAGCGUCACGGAGCAGGUGGAGGUGACUCACGCUGCCUACUUUCUCUCCAUAAAGGCAGAGACUGAGCUAGGCCACGCUGCUCACUCAGUUCACCUCCCCUCACCCCAAAAUUGCCAAAACCCAAAGGAGAGAGGACUUGGAGCAGCUGCAACAGAAGAGACCCCCAUUCUUCUCUCCUCAGUGACAUCACACAGCCAUGGAACUGCUCCUGAGCAUGCUCCGAGGCGGGGAGGCCACUGACCUCUCCGCUGGCCUCCGGCCGGUCUCUGAGCUGGGAGGUGGAGUGGCUUGGCUCUGUCCCGGCUCGUUUUUAGAUAAAGAUUUUCCAGAUUCUAGCCCUCUUCUCGCGACUCAAGCCCCACGGAUUGCUCUUUUCGCUGAUCUGCUUUCUUACGAAAACCCCCGUCGACAGCCAGGGUCAGGGUGUCCAAGGACUUCUCUACAGGAGGAAUGGGCUCCGCUCACUCACUCGCUCGUUACCCCAUCUCACCGCGCUGGCGUCCCACUCUCACAGCUCGAGGCACCAGGAAUGGAACAAGCUGGUAAGUCAGAGGAUGAACACAACGCAGAACUACCGAGAAGAGAGUGAGUGAUGCCCAUGGCAGAAAGGGCAGAGAAGCACUGUCCCAGGUGAAAGCCAUCUAAGAAAGGAUGUAACAAUACUGGGCGUGGCAGCACACGGGCCUGCAGAUGGGGUGAUGGGGCCCAGGCAGCAGGAUUAUGUUUACAACAUCAUCUGCCAAAACCCUGUUUCAAAACAACACAGAUGGCAGGUGCUGCCCGCUCUAGGUAAAGAGGUGGCCUGGGCAGGGUGCUCGGGGCUCUUCGCGGUGUUUCUUGGGAGGACCACCGGUGGAUAAUUUGAACUGCACAGAAAUGUAUUCCCCACAGCUCUGGAGGACGGAAGCCAGAGGUCAAGGUGCCUGCGGGUUCGGGUUCAGGCUGGGCUCUUUUCUGCUGGCCACUGCCUUGCGUUGUCCUCCCUAAGGAGGGAUGUUCCCUGCCGUGUGCUUACAUCUGCAUGACAGAGCACAAACUCUCCUCCAAAGACACCACCCGAAGGCCCAGCGCUGCUGCUCUGGGGACAGAAUGUCAAAGGCGGAUUUUGCAGAUACAUCGUCUUAUCACAGACGAUGACGGACCAGAGCAACAGGGUCUCAUUCAGAAAGGCAGAACUUCAACCUCUUCAUCUUUGGAUUAUGUGGGGGGGGGGGGUAGAGGCCAACUUUUGCACAACCUGAGGACAUUGGUGCCACUCUUAGCAGAGCGGGGACAAUCCCUGGAGCAGUCCUCUAGCCAGUGCCCCAGGGCGAAGGCUGUGAGACCCAGAAUCUGCUCUCUGUACCUAACGGUGCUCCCGAGGAGGCAGAAAUGAUUUACCUUGACCUACUAAUCAUUGUGCAUGUGUACCCCAAACUGGUACACAGCCCUCUGUCACAUGGACAUUACUCAAUAUGAAGGGAAGUGGACCAUUUCCCGGCCUGAGUUGGAGUGGGAGGCAGAGAGCAGUGGAGUGGGCUGUACUUCUGUGAGCUGUUUCUGUUUGCAGGAUGGUCAUCACAGGCAGACAGGGGACAGUCGUGCCUGAGAGCUGACAAGCCUGUUUCUAUAGGCUUUCAUUGAAUGCAGCAUGGGAUGGAUAUUGCACAUUUUUUGUAUGUAUUGUUAACAUAAUUCUGGUAAGCAGGGACCCAGCCUAACUCUGUUGGGGCUGAUCUGGAGCUACUGUGUAUUCAAAUGUUAAUUGCUUCUUCCCUAAGAUCCUUAUGAGCAAAUCCUCAUGUACCCAAAAUGAUGCGGUGUAAACCUGGCCUCCCAAAUUGUUUCUGAUUGGCAAAUAAAGUUGCCUGCACUUAGGCUGGGCAGGAGAGAGGUAGGCGGAGCUAAGGCUCGAGGGCUUUGGGGGUCUUGGAGGACCAUGAGCAGAGAGGAAGAAGAGAGGAGCCAUGGGUUAGCAUGAACUUAGAAGCAUGUGUCUGGGAGGAGCUAGCUCUGAGGAUUAGCAUGCCGGAGAGAAGCGGCCCAGAUGGAAGACAUGUGCAAGUAUUUUAUGGGGUUAGGGCUGGGAAGUAGACAAGACAGCUCAGAGGGUUAAUAUCUUCCCAGCCCCAGUGCCUUUAGGCUUAUCAAAAAUCUAACAAGUUUCUGUGUCUUUAAUUUAUAUAAUAGCAGGUUAAGAAAUAACUGCCACCUUAAUAAUUAUAUUAUCAGUAUUAAAGAUUAAUAGUCAUACAACAAAAUUUGGUUCUUAAAUCAUAUUCAAAUGUAUCAGACUGUAAGCUCGGUGAGGCUUGUCGGUCACUCACCGACGGCGCUGCAGAGCCUAGCCACAUAUGCCUGCUUCAGAAUUAUUCAGGGCAGGAUGGUCAGUUCGGCAAGCAGCAAAGGACUGUAAGGGGUGCUAGGCUGCAGAGACAGAAGCUCCGUGCGGAAAGCACUGCUGUUCUGUUCAGGGGACUGGAAUUCGGCUUCCAGCACCAACAUCAGGCAGCUUACACCCGCCCACAGGGCCAGCUCCAGAGAGUCCAUUGCUUCUUCUGUACCCACAUGAACACACACAACACCACAGAGCACACAUACACAAGAUAAUAAAAUAGGAUUUUUAAAGAGAAUAGCUGUUGGUAUAAUUUUUUUUCUUGAAUGUACACAAUUCACCCUUGUUCAUUCACAUGCUGAUUUCUCUACCCCACUAUCUGGUUUCAAUAGGACAUUGCAUUGUGAUGUUUAUUCUAAACAUCACCUGUCUCAAGUUUCUGUAAACAUGCCCCCAUUUGUUCUCUGUAUUGUCAAUAAAACAACCAGCCCCAAUGCUGGGCAAUGGAGAGGAUAGGGUGGGACAUCCUGGUCCAGAGUGGGGGAGAAAGGAAGGAAGGAGCAGUGGCUCUGGAGGAGAGGUCUUGGAACUACAUGGAAAUAUAGGACCUGACUAACAGCAAGUAGAAUGGGAGAAAUCUGAAU